CCCUCUGUAUGCCGUUCUCUCCUUCAUCCUUUCUCUCUCUCGCCGAACUGUAGCUAGUUCUAAAGAAGUAUACCUUCUCUAAACCUCCACGAUGGCUACAUAUCGAUUCAUCAGGUCCGAGGGGCCCUCAUACCACUCGAGUACAGAUGUAACUUAAUACACUACAGAAUGAUCAUGCAACUCGUGGGCCUGGAUCUAGUCCCCCGUAUGGACUUGAUCGAGUCCCCCUCAUGGCCUGGGUCGAAUCCCACUCAUGGACUACAGAAUUGCCAGGACGAUGACUGAAUUCCCCGGGCCACCUUACCGGACCCUGAAUGUAUCCUCUUGGCCUUAUCUCCACCACCACGAGGCGGUGAAGGACUGGUGACGCGAAGCAGCGGGAGGUCCAGAGUUCCCUUUCUACCAUGAAAGCUCUGAAUCGCCGACCAGCCAAAUGAGGGUCUGCUGGUGUCUGCUUGGACUGAAAAUGUAAAUCAAUGCACCUCCAAGUCUGAGCGGGUUGCCUUGUGACCGGGAGAUUGCUAGUUUGAAACCUGGCUCCUCCUAGCUGAGUGUGUUGUGGAGGUGUCGCCCUAACGACGAGCUCUGGCUGUGUAUGAAUGGUUGUAAGUCACUUAGGAUAAAUUGGCUUCCAAAUACAACUCUGAAGUUAUUGUCUUCAAGAUCAGAAUCAUUGUUGGACCCGCUCUGGAUUAAAGCUUCUGCUAAAUGCCCUGAAUGUAAAUGCCCCUGCUAAUCCAAAUGUGUUGCUCUUAACAAUAAAACUGUAAAAUAAA